CUACCAUGGAUUUAUUAUUAAUUGACCACAAGGAAUCAUCAACCCCCACUGGGCAUGUUAUAACAGAGAAAUUAGAUAGUGUAGUAAUGGAACUACAGCAGCAGCACUAAUGCAACAAUACACAAUACUUAUUUGGUUAGAAAACAAUUGUAAAGCCAUUCUACUUCCUCAUAAAAGUACAACUUUAAUUCUAAAAAACCUGUUAAUGAGUUUGCU